UGGGGAAUAUUGGACAAUGGGCGCAAGCCUGAUCCAGCAAUGCCGCGUGGGUGAAGAAGGUCUUCGGAUCGUAAAGCCCUUUCGACAGGGACGAUGAUGACGGUACCUGUAGAAGAAGCCCCGGCUAACUUCGUGCCAGCAGCCGCGGUAAUACGAAGGGGGCUAGCGUUACUCGGAAUUACUGGGCGUAAAGGGCGCGUAGGCGGCUCUGUUAGUCAGGCGUGAAAUUCCUGGGCUUAACCUGGGGACUGCGCUUGAUACUGCAGGGCUUGAGGCCGAGAGAGGGUGGUGGAAUUCCCAGUGUAGAGGUGAAAUUCGUAGAUAUUGGGAAGAACACCGGUGGCGAAGGCGACCACCUGGCUCGGUACUGACGCUGAGGCGCGACAGCGUGGGGAGCAAACAGG
rnacentral:rRNA from 1 species